GCUCCUUGAGCUCUUGUCCACAUUUUAGAGUGAGAGCUCAUCUUUUCCCUGUUCUUGCCUAUCCACAGGCGACACAGCAUUUACACGCGUGGGGGGUUUACUCAGGGUGAUCGCAUUCAGACAUUGGUUCAUGAAGUGCCCUGGCUUGUCGCAGCGUAUGCAGACUCCUCUGGCAAUUCGGUCAGCGGCAUCCUUCCCUGAGACAUUGGGGACCCUCAGGUGACUUGCGUUUACAUGUGGGACCCAGUCCAUUGAUUCUGGUUCGGAGGCGGGGGGCACUGCAGAGUGGUUCGGGGUGUACACAUUUGUUCAGCAGAAUCCUCUGCAAUUUUGAAGCACGCGGAACUGAGACAGGUCAUUGUCCAACAGA
rnacentral:sRNA from 1 species